GUGGGGAAUAUUGGACAAUGGGCGAAAGCCUGAUCCAGCCAUGCCGCGUGUGUGAAGAAGGUCUUCGGAUUGUAAAGCACUUUAAGUUGGGAGGAAGGGCAGUAAGUUAAUACCUUGCUGUUUUGACGUUACCGACAGAAUAAGCACCGGCUAACUUCGUGCCAGCAGCCGCGGUAAUACGAAGGGUGCAAGCGUUAAUCGGAAUUACUGGGCGUAAAGCGCGAGUAGGUGGUUUUGUAAGUUGGAGGUGAAAUCCCCGGGCUCAACCUGGGAACUGCCUCCAAAACUGCAUGACUAGAGUACGGUAGAGGGUAGUGGAAUUUCCUGUGUAGCGGUGAAAUGCGUAGAUAUAGGAAGGAACACCAGUGGCGAAGGCGACUACCUGGACUGAUACUGACACUGAGGUGCGAAAGCGUGGGGAGCAAACAGGAUUAGAUACCCCUGUAGUCC
rnacentral:rRNA from 1 species